UACGGGGGGGGCAAGCGUUGUUCGGAAUUACUGGGCGUAAAGGGCUCGUAGGUGGCCAACUAAGUCAGACGUGAAAUCCCUCGGCUUAACCGGGGAACUGCGUCUGAUACUGGAUGGCUUGAGUUCGGGAGAGGGAUGCGGAAUUCCAGGUGUAGCGGUGAAAUGCGCAGAUAUCAGGAGGAACACCGGUGGCGAAGGCGGGUCUCUGGGCCGAAACUGACGCUGAGGAGCGAAAGCGUGGGGAGCGAACAGG
rnacentral:rRNA from 1 species